rnacentral:rRNA from 1 species
UACGGGGGGGGCAAGCGUUGUUCGGAAUUACUGGGCGUAAAGGGUGCGCAGGCGGUUUUGUAAGCCAGAUGUGAAAUCCCCGGGCUCAACCUGGGAAUGGCAUUUGGGACUGCAAGGCUAGAGUGUGGCAGAGGAGACUGGAAUUCCCGGUGUAGCAGUGAAAUGCGUAGAUAUCGGGAGGAAUACCGAUGGCGAAGGCAGGUCUCUGGGCUGACACUGACGCUCAUGCACGAAAGCGUGGGGAGCAAACAGG